rnacentral:lncRNA from 1 species
GACUAGAACUCCUCUAAUUAGGUGACAUCUAAUCUAAAUAGUUUAGGCUCCAAAUCAGAUUUGGAUUUUAAUCUAUUUGGGUCCAAUCAAUUCUUAAUAUGAUUAGGAUUGGUUAGAGUUUAAAUUGGUUUAAAUCAGCCACCUAAUGAAGAGUCCCAUGAAAUUGAAACUCUUCCUUUCCAUGCACCAACCAAGGUCCCAUGCC